CCUUAGUCCAUGGUGAUCUGAUAGGAUGC
rnacentral:piRNA from 1 species